AACCUGGUUGAUCCUGCCAGUAGUCAUACGCUCGUCUCAAAGAUUAAGCCAUGCAUGUGUAAGUUCAAUGAUUUGACCAAAAAACUGCGAAUGGCUCAUUAUAUCAGUUAUAGUUUAUUUGAUAGUCCCUUACUACUUGGAUACCCGUAGUAAUUCUAGAGCUAAUACAUGCGUAAACACUCGACCUUUGGAAGAGUGGUAUUUAUUAGAUUGAAACCAACCCGUUUCGGCGGUGUCCUGGUGAUCCAUAAUAACUUUUCGGAUUGCAUUGCAACAUUUCAUUCAAGUUUCUGCCCUAUCAGCUUUGACGGUAGUGUAUUGGACUACCGUGGCUUUAACGGGUAACGGAGGAUUAGGGUUUGAUUCCGGAGA
rnacentral:rRNA from 1 species